GAUGAAGAACGUAGCGAAAUGCGAUAAGUAAUGUGAAUUGCAGAAUUCAGUGAAUCAUCGAAUCUUUGAACGCACAUUGCGCCCGCUAGUAUUCUGGCGGGCAUGCCUGUUCGAGCGUCAUUUCAACCAUCAAGCCCUGUUUAGGCUUGUGUUGGGGCCCUGCGGUUGCCGCAGCCCCCUAAAUGCAGUGGCGGGCUCGUUGUCACUCCGAGCGCAGUAGCACAUCUCGCUCAGGGCGUGCGGCGGGCUCCAGCCGUUAAAGCACCCACCUUUCGCAAGGUUGACCUCGGAUCAGGUAGGAAUACCCGCUGAACUUAAGCAUAUCAAUAAGCGGAGGA
rnacentral:misc_RNA from 1 species